rnacentral:lncRNA from 1 species
AUGAGAGAAAGAAUGAAGCCAGGAGAUUGCCCUAAUCUAAACGAUGCUAGGCACUUGUCUUCUGUUUUUAAGCAUCUUGUAACUCUGGCAUAUGUCAACAUUGUCAUACAAUUGUGGUGUGUGUGGCCAGCUUUAGUCAUAAUGGUGGGAAGAUGUGCAGUGACAUCACGUAGCAUCACUAAGAAGCAUUCCCUUUUUCUUUCCUGCUUAUGGACAUUUGCAACCAUCUUCUCUCUGUCCCUUCUCAUCUCUCGAGCCCCAUGUGUUUCAGCAUUUUCUUUUCCAGCUACAACAGAGACCCAGACUUUGACACAUUCCCGCUUGGCCUUUGUAACACUUGGGUGGAAAGUUGGAGGGAAAGGACUCGCUUACUACAAAAGUACUGAGAAUAGAAAUAGAAUAUUAUUUGAGAAUGCCUGGUGAGGGGACCUGAAUUCCAUGCUAUCCUCAAAGCCCCUCAGUAAAUGAGCCACCGUCUUCCCCUCUGGCUUUAAAGAAAGAAGCUGGAUGCUGUUUGCUCAGUGAGCACUGUUUCUCCUUACUGGCUUUGUUGAGAGAUGCAUCCCGGGGGCUCUCCUGGGAUCUGUACAGUUGUGUGUGUGCACAUGAGCCAGGAGGUGCUUUGGUGGAGACAUUUUUCCUCCCAUUUCCUGUCACGUUCCACACACGGCCUUCAGUGGAUCAUGUGGCAAGGCAACACUUCAUCCCAGCAAUGUCUGAGUGGUACAGGGAAAAAGCACCAGUAUUAAAAAGACAAAAAAGUGAUUAAAGUAAGAUGAACGCCCCCCAACUACUUCUGCUCUUGAGGAAUUUUCUUAAGUGUUGUUUA